rnacentral:rRNA from 1 species
CAGGUUUCCGUUGGUGAACCAGCGGAGGAUCAUUA